UGUGUGGUUACACUGCCCUAUUUUUUAAGUAACAAUUUUGAGAAUUUUUUUUAUUGGCACAGCAUUUUUCUUAUACACAUCUGACUGGCUGGGCUCUUAGUGACUACUUAAAAUCUCCAAAGGGUUGGAAGACCUAACAUCUAAUUUUUCAACAAAAAAUGAAACAAGAGUAUAUGUUUCAUAACUGUGUCUUAAUGGAAUUUCCUCCUUUCCCUCUUUUCCCUUCUCCAUUCAAAAUGAUUAAGAAUGUUAUACAAAUGCCAAGGGAGAGAAUGGUAUAGAAGAUUAUCCAGAUGUUAAAGAAAUACCCAGUAAUGAAGAACGUCUGUUAGAUUUUAAUAGGGUGUCUUCUGUUUAUGAAGCAAGAUGUACAGGAGAGAGAAAUUCUGGAGCAAAAUCAAAUGGCUUUCGCAGAAAGAUGUGUUCCAGCGCCAGCUCUGGCUCAGAGGAUACGGGCUCAGAAGGUGGAGGCGAAUGGGUGGAUCCUGGUGAAGAGGAGCUCUUUUCUCGAACUCAUCUCUAAACCUGCAAAGUAGUACAAAUUAUUUUUUAAAAGUGAUAUGUGAUGGAAAAUUACUCUUUUGUGAGCCUGUUAAUCUAAAACAACAACUUAGGUUUCUUCAAUUAACUGAUUCAGAUCAGUAAUUAUCUUUCUCCUCUUGCUUAUUUUAGAGUUGAGGACAGCUAUCCUGUUGAAGAUUUUUUUUUUUCCCCAGCUGUUAAAUUCUUGGCUACUUGAAAUAGACUAGAUUGUGUUGUCAAACUAAGAAUGGGUGUGCAUGUGCUUGUCUUAGAAGUUUCACUGCUUUUUGCAUCUUAACCGCAGUUAAUUUCCCUUCUAACUGCAGUUAUAUCACUAUUAUCUUAUUAGCAUUGCAGUGUCAACAACCACUUCUGCUAUUCAGAGACUUUAGCUUUGGAACAUUUAGGCUUUGUUCUCUAAGAACUGGGAUAUAAAUCCUUACCCUGCGUGGCUCAGUGCCUUUUGAAGGCCAGAGGGAAGCAUGGGUGACUCAUCUGCAGUCUUCAUUCAGUAAAAUCUCAUGUACAUUUGAAGUGGGAACCACAAGGCUGUGCUUUUAGAGACUUACAAAAUACUGUGUUUUAUAUCUUAGGAUUUUUCCCCCUAAAGUAUCAUGGAAGAUACUAUGGUUUGUGACUUUCUUGCUAACUGAAGAAGCCAAGGAUUUGGAGUAUGGGGCAGUAUGUGAGGCCGAGCGGGGUGCACACCCCUCCCCACAACCUAUGCUUAUACUGCAAUUGCAUUUACACCAAAACAUCAUUCAGGGUUUUUUGUGGUAAGUUUUACAAUGCAUGAUAAGGAGCAUAAUUGCAAAUUACUAUUUUAUGGUGACCUACAUUGAGUUGAACACCCCAAAACUUGAAAUUGUAAACAUUUGGCAUUCAAUAAAGGCCACCUCAUCACCCAAAGAAAUCUUUGGCUGCUGCAGCUAGCUGCUCUCGUGGCUGUGAUGUAGUGUAGCUUAUAUCUCAUUUUGUGUUUGAGAGAAUGUUCUGGGCACGUUCUGUGUGUGGUGGGGUGGGGCGGGUAGAGUAAUGGCUUUCCCACAUGCCUGUGUGAUUGCUGUGCCGACUGUCCAGUGUCACUUGGUGAGCCCAGGGGUCGGGACACCUGGACACACUGUGUCUGUGAGUGCUGAUCACCUCCGCCAGCUGUCACAGUGUGAUGCAGCAGGUUGAGGCGAGAAGGAGCAAGAUUUGCAAAACCUAAACAUUUUAAAUUGUUUUUCUUUUUUAACCCACUCAUUUUAAAAAAAAAAAAAAAAAACCCACCUAAUCUGUGAAAUCAAUUUAGCAUGUCUGGAACACCACAGAUAGCAAAAAAAUCUGACAAGGACUGGACAGCUUUAUUACUGAUACUGGCAGGCAGGAAACACGAUUAGCUGGGAGCCGAACUACCUGUGCAAUCUGAGAUCUGCUUUGAACAUUUGGGUUUUAUUGCCUUUUUCUUAAUUGAUAACAGAAAAUACCAUCAAAGGCCAUGGAAUCUUUGUGGUCCUGUAUGUCCUCACUGUGAGAAGCCUGUCCCGCCCGUUGGGUUUGAGCUCACCACAGGUUAGGGUUUAUUUUUAUACAGCACAUGUUUUGACACUUUAAAGUGGGUUUGUCUCUGUGUGUAUGUGUGUGUGUGUGUGUGCGCGCAUGUGUAAGGUUUUAACGUUGCUGUUAUUUAUUUACAGACUUCAGAUAAGUUUUUAUGUAUUUUUCUUUCUUUUGGAGCUUCCUAAAAAUUGAUUAGCAUCUGCACUGAAAUACAAUUUAACAGCAAAGGCAAAAAAGGAUUGGAAGUUGUAAAUUCUUAAAAUCACUACAGUGACGAUUAUCCUAGUAUUUGUUGCUUAUGUAGCUGAGACCAAAUAAUUAGAUUUCAGAUACAACCUUGAGCACAGUUGACUGGACAGCUGCUGUUUGUAAGCAAAGGGCUCCAGGUGGCAAAGGUGCCGCCUUCUUCAGACAAGGCAAGAAGGUAUAGCACCUUCCACAGGGGAAUGGGGACGGAUUAUAAAUGGGCAAAGGGAUUAACAAAUUAUGUAUUUAUUUGUUUUCAUAGUUAAGUAGCUGAAGCUCAGAGGCUUUCAGCAACAGAGUUGAACGUGUGGUUUUUAGUUUUGUGAAUGGAUGAUCACAAAGAAAAAGCAUUUUUUAAAAAGUUGGCAACCGCUGAAACGCACUGUGGUAUGAAGCGCAUUGCAGAUCCAUAGCACUGAAGUAUCAGUUUCCGUUCCUGGGCUGAGAUUUUUUCCCCGUGGUUGUAUUGUUCUGAUUUUACGUACACCAGUAACUGAUUUUUUGUUUUCUUGUGGAGUUAACACCAAAUAAAAAUUUUAAAAACA